AAAGAACUCUUUCAAGAGAAUUAUAAGCAUCCAUGACAUAGUGAAGGUUCAGAUAUAGUAUCUGCCCUCGAGGCCUCCCAGUCUGGCGGGUAAGCCAGUCUUCCACAAGCUGUGGUAAGGUUGUGGAGAGAGAUUUAAAGAAGUUUUCUCUCUAGCUUGUAGGACUGGUUAUCUGUGAGCCUCAAGAGGGUAAGCAAUGGGAAGCAAGCACUCUGAAGGCUAUCAAUAAUCCCCAGGGCCAGGCUAGGGGUGGGUCUGACUCCACAUAGGGUGCUGAGAGCAUAGGGAGAGGAGAAGUGUGGGCCUCGGUUCUCUGCUCCCAAAGCCCCUUAGAGGAGAAGGGGCUUGGGUGAGCUUUGCAGGAAGUGUAGCCCUCCAUACAGGGGCGGGAGGAAGGGCAUCCUAGGCAGCAGAAACUGCACGGGCAACUCACUGAGGAAGGAGAGGCUGUGGCCCAGCUGAGGGGCCGCCAGUAAGUCCUCCUGAGGGUCCAGGGGAGGGAACCGCGCUUUACUGUGACUCUCACAACAACCCCGACCAACAGGUAUUACUUUUCUCAGCUCCACCAAUUAAAAAACACAACCUUGGACAGUUACUUAACCUCUCUCUGCCUUAGUUUCCUCAUCUGUAUCUACCUUAUAAGGUUGUCAUGAGGACUGAAUAAGUUAAGACAUAUAAAAUUCUUAUUAAGCCUGGCACUAGGGCCAGCUUCACGGGCAUGUGACCUCCACACUGCCACAGGUCCCCACAGUCAGAAGGCAAAGGGUCCCACAUUUGGUUUAAUGCUCUGCUGUUGCUGUCUUGAAACUCUUAAUAAUUUUGGAACCAGGAGCCCCAUGCUUUCCUUUGCACAGCCACAAAUUAUAUAGCCAGUCCUGCCUGGCAUAGCGUAUGCUUAAAAACUUUAGGUUUUAUCAUUUACCUUAGAGUGUAGAAUAACAAAUCUGAUUCAAUGUAUUUGCUUUAGAAAUGAGAAGACUGAAGCUCAGAGAGUUUACAUGACUUCCUCCAUGUCUCACUGCAAGUGAAGAAACAGGCUGCAGAUGAAGAGCUGAAACCACAAUCUUAGAGGUGAAGGCAGGACAAUGACCCGCUCCCUACCCCCACCCCCACUGCCCCAGAAGGCAGCAUAAGGAGAGAGGAGCAGACAGAUUCCUCUGAAGGAGCUUGGAGAAAGAGGUGGUAUGAAAAGGAGCAUGAACAGUUGUAGAGGUAGGAGGGAAGCUGGCUAUUUCGGGAAGCCAGGAGAAGAUUCUCAGAGUAAAAUGUAGUGGUGCAGCCAUGGAAACCAGGACUGAGAAAGUCUCUUGGAUCUUGGCCACAGGAGGUCAUAGAUGAGCUUAGAGAAAUGAGUGUCAGUAGAGUUAGGGCUGGAAGCCAGGUUUAAAGAAUAAGGGAGCCCCGAUGGUGGAGAUGGCCACGGGUCAUUAUUUAAGAAAAUGAGAAAAGGAAAUAGAGGAAAAAGGACAGGGAGGAAGGAGGCUAUUUUGACGGGGGUGGGAGGAAAGCCGGAUCCCAACUGGGAUGAGGAGACAGGACCUUCAGAGGCAGUAAUUUAGCCAGGAUGGUGCACCUCUUUCCCUGAGUCUGUAGGAAAGAGCUGAUAAAGGCUAUACGGGCAACUGUUCAUUUGCAGGGGCUGGUUGUCUCCCCAGCUGCACUGUGGCGUUCUCAAGGUAGACAUCUCAGGGGCAACACAGCGACAUGGAAAAGAGCUUACUGGGACCAGGCUGCCUGCGUUCAGCCGCGAGGUUAUUACCUGUGGUGACCUGGGUGGACAAGCGUGACAGUUUCCGGCUUCCUGCUUUCUCCUGGAGAGGGAAAGGACAACGAGGUGGAGCAGAGAGAGAACUGAAGGCCCUCAAAGACGAAGAUCAUAGGAAGCACUGGCUUUGGCCACUCCUGGGUGUUCCUAUCCUGCUCCCUGCCCCCAGAGAGCAAAUGCUGCAGGUCCCCACACAUUGCCGGCCUCUGGCCUAGCUAACCACGGUUCAUCCUUUACUUCUCCUUGUAGAUGUCACUUCUGGAGAGCCAUCCCUGUGCCACCAAGAUUGAGUCCUGUGUCUUCCCAUGUUCUUCCAAGCCACCUGCAUGUGAUUAUCUGUUUACCUGUUGGCCACUCCCACUAGACUGAGGUCCCUGAAGGCAGCAGUGUUUUAUUCAUCUGUGUAGUCCUCGUACCCUAGGAAAGUGCCAACAGGCUCAAUAAACAUUUACUGGAUAAUUAUUUAUUUGGGGGCCUUUUAUGAUCAGAGCAAUUUAAGGGACACAAAGAUGAAAAAUGACACCAUUUGUUUUCAAGGAACUUACAACUGAGUUGGGGAGACAGAUGCAUCCAACAAUUAACUAUAAAACCAAGCGCUAGUUUAAAGGCUAAAAUAGAGGUACAGACAACCAACUUUGAAGAUAAGGAAGGUUUUGGACCCUAAACAUUUAUCAUUCAUUGUGUUUUCUGAUUCAGAAUCUCCAUAUUGGAAUGCUAGUAUGGUGCAGUGGUUAUAAGGA
ensembl:lncRNA